AAAAUAAAAAUGCAAGUGCAAUAGUUGGAGGAGGAGUCAGGCACUCCACAGUCAGGAAGUAAACAGGCAAAUAAAGCCUGAGACCCCUGGAUGUGAUUUGCUGUAGUAAACAGAGACCAUCUCAUGGGUGGGAACUCUGGUCUCAUUGAGAUUGCAUCAUCAAUGGGAGGCGGGAGGCUUCUCCUUCUUUGACUAACUGUGCUUAUGACCUCAUAAAUCCUAUUUAAGCUGUGGGGAAGAGGAAGGAGCUCUCUUUGACCAGGAGUUCAUCAGGAGUUCACCAAGAGUCAGGAGGAGGUUAACUAAGAACAGGAUGUAAACAUGUGAAUAAAAGAUCUUGAACUUGCACAUAGCUGUUCUCAAGCACUCUAUCAUGUAUUUAAACCAUCUUUCCUAUGAAAUCAUGGCCAGAGAUCUCUGAAGACCCCCAACAUAGGUAGCACAUUUUAUGAUGAAAUCUCAAGCAUGUAGUAAGAAAAGAGAAAUCACUCUUUUUUGUGCUCUAGAGCCUCCAGGAAAGAGAACUGUUUCCAGGCACAACAGCCUGAUGGUAGACACCCCCAUUUUGGCCACAGGAAAGUAAGUCUGUCUGGGUACCUUUUGGGGUACCAUCUGGUUAAGUCUUAAAACUUGUUCUGUCUGUAAGCUAGCAUCUGGAUUCCCAGAAUUAUGAAAUGCUGAUGGGCAUA